AAAAUAGGCACGCAAUGAAUAAAAUUCCAGUUGUUAAUCCCUGGUGCCUCAUAUGUACUAGAUACAAAGAAGAUACUUGUGGAAUGAAUGAUUCUUGAGAUUGUAAGGCUAAAACUAUGCCUUAUUCGCUUCAGUAAACCUCACAGAGAAAGAGCACUUUGGACAUCAUAUGGCUUUACAAAUGUUAUUUGAAUAAAUAAAUGAAUGAAUGAAUGCUCAUGGUAAAGUUUCUUGACCUCAUUAUUCAAUUCAAUUUUACCCAUUAUGUUCUUUAUAACACUAUAGAAAGGGAUACUGACCAACGUUCGUUUCUUGAAAUAUCAAUUGAUAUGUAUCAAACAAGAACUGCAUAUGCAAAAGGGAAGAAUUCUUUACUUCCUAAUGUAGUUGAGUAUUUGACUAAAAUAUGGUGAAAACUCCUUGUUUAGGUAUUUUGGUAUGGUUAAUAAUAAACAUUAGUUCAAUAGUAGCCCAUCUAUAAAGAUAAGGCAUGGAUCAGAUGACCUCUGAAGGUCCAGGUAAUCUAUCUGGAAAAGCUGUUUUGAUAAAAUGAGUCUCAGAAUAUGAACCAUGAACAGUUUACCAAAAUUAGUCUAUAGAGGCCAAAGAGUCCAAGGUUUAGCUUAAUAUUAAGAUAUCUCAAGUUCCAAAAUGGAGGAACUGAAGCUAAAAGACUACAUAAAUCAGUAACUUAAUAGGAUCAGAAACAUCUUGGGGAUUGUCUCUCAUGACACAACUUAACUACAUUUCUUAAAUUCAGCUUAUGAUCAGCCCACUCCAAACAUCAUUCUCACCACUCCAAAACCAUUACGUACAGGGCUCAACCUCCUACCCAAAGGAAGAGCUGUGAUAGCACUUUCUGUCGGCUCAAAUUUUCAGAGGAGCCAUUAUGAGCAGUAAGAUGUGCUGAUUCCCUGAGAAGGAGCGCCUCUCUGAUCUCCUGUGGAGUUUACUUUGACUUGGGGGCUUCUCCACUUGCCAAAGUUUACUCAGAAGUGGAUCUAAUCAUUGCCCUAAAACCCCAGUUAGACACAAUGUGAGGUUCAAGAUAACUGAGGAGGUCAUUGCAUGAAACUUGACAGGAAUGAAAUGAAAAAGAAACAGAAUCUCAAAAGGUUUAUUUAGUUUCUGGCCAACCUUCCAAGUUUUCAUAUGUAAUAACAGAGGUCCUUCAACAGGCUUCAGGCAAGACUGACCUAACACCAGAUCCUAUACCUAGCCCACUUAAUAGGGUUUCCAUACCUCUAGGGAAAUGGCUAAGGUGGACCCUUCAUGUGGCAAUGGAUGGACUAUCAGCUUUCACUUGACUCUUCCUAAAGCACGGCCAAUUAAUAAGCAAGUUCACAACUGAAGAAAAGAAAGUCAGUGCCCCUCUAUACUCCAGGUCUUUCCUUCCUCCAUUCAUUUCCUUCUUUUCCUUCACUACCUAAUGUCUUUAUCCCCUCUCUCCCUGCUUCCCACCCUGGGUGGGGUUAAUGAUUUACUCAUUCUUCAAAGCAGAAGAAUAUAGCCCGCUCUGGAAGAAUGAAAUGGUUUUCUCAGCCCAUUCACCAUCAGAAUUUUUCUUUAUUUCCUAAUCUCCUGUGGCAACUGCAAUGAAGCAUGGGCACAUGGCUCUUUGUUCUUUUUAAAUUGGAACUUGCAUGCUGCUUUCCAUGCCAACUGCAGAGAGAGCUGCUUGGUCACUGAGCCAGCAGCCUCCCAGGGUGCCCAGAUAUUGACACCACAGAGUCAGCCCAUUGUAACUAUUGGGAGUCACAUUACCCAUAAUGAUGGGCAGCUCUGGGCUUUACUCUCAUUCUGAACUUUAAUACACAUCAUUUUUUUAUCAUCUUUAUUUUUCUCUCUUCAGCAUCAUCUACUCGUCAAUGAUUGUAUUAUGUGAAAUGGGUAGACCAGAUGAGCACAUGGCCACACAGGCAAGGGAUUCUACUAAGGAAUCUGUGAUUUCAAACUUCUUCUGAGCCUCAAAAGAUAGUUUUGAGGCUAUGGAGUAAAGCAGAGGCAUGGAAUGAAAUGGAGAGACUGAGGCAGAGAGGCAGAGACUUAGACACAGCAUCCCCUGACUCCUGCCUCGCAGCUUGGGGAGUAGGUGCACCUGGAGAAACAACUUGGAGUCAGACAACCUUCCCUUGGCUUGUCCAAUCAGACAAUCAACUAGCUUUGUAACUUGAGACAAACUUCUUCAACAGUAAAAUAAAAAAAUAAAUAAAAUGUUUGAACGAAAUGAUCAUCAAGAUCCAGUCAUGACAUUCCAUGACCUGAAUCCAAGUAGGUUCAUAUGUCUUUCAGAAUUUUACGGGCUUAUACAUCCUUAGCAGCAACUGUUUUUAGAAUCUCUUCGAUUCCUUCCCAUUUCAGCACAAUGAAAACACUGACUGAAAAGAGGCUAUUACGAACAAUCUCCACUUUCCUCAAGACCCUAUACUGUCAGCAGCCCAUUCCCUCUCAAGGAACAACUGCUUCCUACUUCACCAACAAGGUGAAGGCUACCAGAGGAACCUUCUCAAAACCCUGCUUGCAUCCAACAAUUAUCUGAACCCAACCUGGAUGUCUUCCCUCCAAUCUCAGGGAAGGAUGGGUCCUUUCUGCAGUCCACAUCCACUACUACUGCCUGGCUUUUGAAUCCCUUCCUGCCCUGCCUCCACAGAACUACUGUCUUGAUUAUUCUUCUUCUUCAAAAUUGUUCCAAGUCUGCAGGUCCUGGGAGUGAGCUUAAGCCACCCAUCAAUGUGCAGGGGACAAAGGACCGUGGUUUACAUAACAAGCAUCCGAAAUGUGAGAGGUGUGGGAUGGCUGCUUUCCCUCAGCCCAAGUGGAGAGCUGUGUGCCAGCUUCUCUUUCUAUCAAUCUGAUCUCCCACCUUAACAAAAAUGGGAAAGCAUGUCCUGGGAAUUCUAACAACACAACAGAAAGGAAAUAAACCCCCAAAUGCAGAAGUAAAAAGAUUUAAAUUAACCUAGAGGUAACCUGGAAGAGUCGAGAUAACACCAAAUCAAGAACCAAGAAACAUGGAAUGUGGUCCCAACAUGCUGCUCUGUGACGUCUGGAAAAGGCCUUUCCUUCUCUGGGUCUCACAGGACCAUCAGUGAAGGAGAGGCUUGGCUGCACUGCUGCUAGGCUGGUGUUAUUCUGACAAUCUGUGCCUAGGAUCUCUGGGCUCAUUCUGCAGGCUCCAAGGUCUUCAUUCAUCUCAUCACUUCUCAUUGUUUAUAUAUCCUGUGACUGCAGCCACAGAAGGUGAAAAGAAUUGAGGUGAACCCAUAUCUGAAUGGGCAGAUUUUGUUUCUACUAGAUUCAUCUUUUGAAUUCAUCUCGAAUCAUGUGCCUCUGGCUCCUAAAACAUGGAAUAAUGAAUACAUUAUGGUCGGUUGAGGAUACUGGUUAUUUGGAAUCUAUAAAUAAUUCCGCACUAAAUCAUGUCACAGAUUCACAUGCAUACCUAGGCUAAGAGCUCAGAAAAAAAGGAGAAUUUGCAUGGACUGCAAUAGAUGAGGAGGCCUUGGGGAAGAGGGGCACAAACCAGCCCUGACCUGCUCAGCUGGCAGUGCCUUUGGGUCUUUCUUGUGCCACCACAUAACCAUGGGAGGAUGAAAAUAGCUGCUAGCAUUCAAUAAGCAUGUAUCACUCACCAGGCACAGCUCUAAGCACGUGCUCUGUGUUAAUUUAUUCAACCACUGCAGCAAUUCCAUGAAACAUCAAUGAUCUUUACUCCAGUUUUACAGAUGAGGGGACUUCAACUUGCCAAGUUUGCACAGCUAGUACAGGGCUGAGGCCCAGAACUUGUCAGCUCCAGGUCCUGAAUUCCUGAACACUACAUUAAAAGAAUUUAGAUGGUUAAAGAGAUUGAAGUAGGACAUUUAAGGUGAGGAGAUAGCUUACACAGAGGCCGGGAGCUGGUAGCAGACGGGUCAUGGGGAGAGGACAAAAGACUGCCCUCCCUUGGGAACAUGGUCGACUCUGGGCCAUCAGGAGACAUCAGGUUCUAUAUGGCAAAAGGGGUCUGAUUAUUCUCCAUCCAUUUACUCAACCCAAAGUACCCCCUCCACUCCAGGGCCCACCCUGAGCACUGGGGUGACACAUAGAUUAUGCAGAUCCCACAAAGGCCCCAGAGGCCUGCAGGCAAUCAGAAGGCUCCAACUGCUGAGCUGAACAGCAUGAACUUGAACAGGAAGUGGGCACCAUCAAGUUCUGGACUAGAGGAAAGGAAGGCUUCAGUUGCAGGGCCAGGAGAAAAGAGAGCUACAGAAGCCCCAGGAACUGUUGCCGUCCUCUUUCCUGCCCCUCUUUCUGCAGCCCAACAUACGGCACAUCUCUCCUAAGGCCCCAGACCUGCACCUCCUCCACUGCCGUGGCUGGUCCUGGCGAAGGUCAGGCCAGUGACACCCUGUACUCUGUCCGGGGGCCACACCAAGGGAGGAGAGCCUGCCUGAGCUUACCUCCAUCUUCAGGAUGCACGCCCCAGGCCAGAUUAUAAGGAUAUUCUAUUGUGCAAUUAUUUCAAAUUAUUAAUUUACCUUGAAACAAACAGUGUCUAAAAUAGACCUCGGCUACGGUUAGUGUUUAUUACUAUCCUGCAUAAAGUUGCAGUUUAUUUCAAAAAUAGUUCAUAUCUACUUUGUGCUCAAUAAAAAACUGUUGAAUAAAUGAAUUAGUGAGCACAUGGAUUAAAAAUCAAAGAGGCUAGGUACUGCCUGUGUUUUGUGUUAUAGGUGUUCCAUUCCCCAAAAAAGAGCUUUGUGAUAACUGCAGAAUUGUGAGAGGACUGGAGAAGGAGUAAAGGCUGGGAAGGCUCGGGACCCAGAGUAGGUUCCCAGGUCCCCUGAUGGCCUCUUCAUAGGAUCAGUGAGACGAACUUUCUCUAGGUACACUCUCUCCUCCUCUCCAUUCCACCCACAGGAAAAAUGUGAACACAUGGCUGCAUGUAAGUACUUGUUAAAUAAAACGUCUUCAACAUUUUCUUGGAACAAUUGAGCUUGUAUUUGCAUACUGUGCCUUUCUGUCCCUUCGUCUUCCACUCUUCUCCUGUGAUGUUUAUGCCAUCUCCCACUUCAGAUGGCCUUGAGACUUGAAUCACUCUCCCCUUGGAAGCCAAUCUCUCUGAAGCUGCGUGUGCUGCUGGCAUCCCUCUCUUCCUUAGAGCCGAGGGUCUGCACAGAGUGACUGCCUCUGCUCCGUCUUCGAUCCCACUGCUCAUUCAUAUCUCCGCUUCCUGUCAUGUGGCACUCCCUCCCACACCUCCAGCUCUUCCCUCUGAAAUCACAAGUGGUUUCCUCAUUUCCAGAUCCAAGGAGCCCACUUCAAACCCGCGGGCUUGUUGGGUGCCA